AUUCAUCCAUAUAAUCAAUGAAAUAUUCUUCAAGCAAUUUUGAAUAUAUGUCAUGGUGGUGCUAUAUACUCUUAACAAUGAAAAUUACUAUCAUCUCCUUGAGAGUACGUUUUACUUAAAACUUUGCCGAAUUAGAAUUUAGAAUUCACUAUCAUUCUUCAAGCAAAUUUUAUCUUAUUAUUAAUCAUUGAAAUACAUCUUGAUCUCAUUCUACUAAUGUACCGAGAGUGACGAACUUAGUAAUGAUGUAUCAUAUUACCUUGUAAAAUUUAAUUAGAUAUUCCUUCAAUGGUUGAGUUAAUCAUCAAAAUACCACUAUCAUCCUCAAUCUCCUCCUUUUUGAUGAUUACAAAAUAUUGAGUAUGAGCAGAUUGUUACUUAAGUUAAAAUCCGUUUUUAGAAGAGCUCAAGUUGCUGAAUUUCAGCUUUUCAAAUUUGAGAGUGAAGUCUCUCCCUUUUUCAUUCAAAUAUUGCCAAUUUGAACUUUUUGAUUUACUCCCCCUUUCUUUUAUAUUUGGUUAAAGAUGAAAUUUCAAAAAUUUGAGAUAAAACAAGAGUUUCAGAUUAUGUAUCAAGGUAUGAGAAGUACGUGCCAAAUUCUUGAAUUUGAUUUCAAUUUGAGACUUUAACCUUUUCAUUGUUACAUAUUACUCCCCCUUAAGUGUAUAAUCUUUCCUAUUAUCAUUUUCAAUCUUGUUUAUCAACUUAUUUCUUUCCUUACUUCUCCCCCUUGUCCUCAACCCUCGAAAGAAAAGAUCAAACUCGUCGAAUCACUAACAAUCUGAACUGGACUGGUAGUAUCUUUAGAUUCCGGGACGCCGAGACCAUAAGAGUUAAGUUAGCAGGGCGCACAUUCACAAUGGCAAGAGCAAGACAUUUAGAUCCCUUUUCUCUUUUUCCACGGGUCGUUUCAUCCACACCUGCACUUGCAAAGGCAGACGCAUCCCUGGGCGUAGUCAUGACUUGUCAAGAGAACGAUGAGAAAGGCAGAGACUCUCCUUUUGGGCGAGGUCUUCCAAACCUUUGACUCAUUCAGUCAAUCCCCAACGGGGUGGUGUCCCAACGCGAUCGACCGAAAUAAAAUAAUAAACAUUCAGAUUUUACUGAUCAAACAUGGAACAUUGUAGUAUAUUAACACCAAAAAUACAAUGUUUUUCAAUCAAAGUGCAAAGUACAUGAUCAACACAAAAUACAUAUGAGAAUUAGAUAAAUCCUAGGCACUAAUCAAGGUGCUAACAUCAGCCUAGGGGGUAUCUAAUGGCUGUGAUCUAGUCCUCAUCCUCCUAGCAUAAGUAGCGAGGGGAGGUCGAGCCUGAUAGGACU
rnacentral:lncRNA from 1 species